rnacentral:lncRNA from 1 species
AUGAGCAGGGAGGGGUGGUUUCCAAUGUGCCCGUUGUCCCUUCUGCUGCCCCAGACGCCGGGUCUCAUUGAGCUGAUUCUCAGGUGGGGACGCCCCACCCUCCGAACUUCACCUCUCCAGCGCCCACGGCCCCCACCGCCAGCUCCAGCCUUCCUUCACCGCCAGCUAGAGCCAGCCUCCUCAUCCGACCCCCGAGGAGGCCCCUUCGGACUCAGAAACAGGCCCCAGCUCAUCCGGGGCCCAAAGCCAUCCCAGGUGGGGCUGGUCCACACCUGUCCCCCAGGUGGGCACACCCCGGGGGGCUCCACUCCGCCACGGCCGCCCCCACGGGUCUCUGCCCCUAUCACGGCCACCCUCCUAGGAUCUGCACCCAUUACCUCGCCCCAGGGGAUGACCUCGACCCUCAAGACCUCGCCUCUUAGGGGUUACCACCUGCCCCUCCCAGCUGAGCCACCGUCACUGCCCGCCCCCACGAAUGGUCUCCACUCUCGCCACAGCGGCCCACCUGGGGGUCUGCUCGCAUGGCCACAGUUUCUUAGGGUUGUGGCCUGCCUCCCAAGGGGUCUUCUGGUGACCUGGAGUAGCCCUGGACACUCACCGAUCCGGUUAGGUGCUGGGAUGUACAGGAGCUGAACUUGGGACCAAAUGAGCUGCAAGAUCUGAGCCGAGGCAUUCUCUGGGGUUCCUGUGGAGAGGCCUGCUGCGGGUGGGAGGUGGGCAUGAGCCUUCCGCCGUCUGGGAGGCUCCCUUGUAGGCCCUCUGUCCACCUGUCCUGGACCUGAGCUGAGCCGGCAUUUGUGACUGGCUGUUUCCACCCCUGACUCAGGGACAGUUUGUGCUUCAGUCCCUGCCACCUGUGUCCAUUCUCAUCAGCUCUGCUGGGGAAACGACCAGAACCAGAUGAGACUUGCCCACCGUGAUACCCACCCAGGCUGGCCUCUCCCAAAGCGCCCCCUGGACUGUCAGCCCCAGGGUGGGGGGAGCCCUUACCCCAGGGUGGGAUGUGACCACUCACCAGGUCUUUGAACCACCUGUCACCUUAGGGACCGUAGGCACGGCUGCAGAAGCAUCUUUUGUUUGCUUGUCCUUUUCGUGUUGAGAUUCCCAGAGCCUGAUGCUUGCUCACCCUGCACAGACCCAGCCUCAGAAUGGGGGCCUCUGGGCACCAGGCUCUAAACUUCCCCAAGCCCCUGGUCUGUGGCCUGAGCUGCCUCACCUGAUGCUGGACGAUGGCCCAGACUGGGUUUAGGGGUUGCAGUGACCCAGUGGACAGGCCCACACAGCCCCAGCAGACGUGUGGGCCUGCCAGCAAGCAGUCCUCUUUAGAGUAACAGCUGGCCCUGCUCACACAGAGAGGGGAUGAGGGGGAUUGGACCCGCCCCCCCACGCCCACCCCACCCUCAGGGGCUCAGGAACGUGGCCUUGGACAGAGGCCUCGGUCCUCACCCGCUCCUCAGGAGGGUUUGCAAGGCAGUCAAGGAGCAGAGGGUCAGGGGCUCCCGGAAGCUUCUGUGCAGCAGCUCAGCCCUGCUCAGGGAAUUGUCCGCUGUGCUGUGACCAAAUCCUCUGUGUGUCCUUGCAGCCCCCCCGUGCCCCCCGACUAUGGCAAUUCGCAGGUCCCCAGUGGCCCUGGUGGAAAGUCUACACUGAGCUGCUGAGAGAAGCAGGGAGCAGCAGGGAGGGUGGCCCACGUCACCCAGGGAUGGUCCGUAGGCUGAUGUGCAGGCCUGCUCACCACCCGAGUUGCUUGCUCAGCUGUCACCAGGACAGGAGUGACGUGGUUUUCAAUGCUUGUUCUCACAUUCACAGCCACUUUGACCCAUUCUCUGAGCACAAGAGCCAGCCUUCGUCUGUCCCACAAGCCUGGCGGAAGGCACAUUCUCCAUCCACUCUGCAGGGGUGGUUCGUCCCGAGCAGGCGGGCUGGCCCAGGCACCACAGCCCAGCUGUCCAGCAUCUCCAGCUGCCUUAACAACUCUCCUGGACCGCUGGACCCAGAUCUGAUUCCUCACUGCAGGGCCAGAGGCUGAGACACCCACUUGACACUGUAGACACUGAACUUCUGCGUGGCCGACCUCCCCUGGGCCAGCUGUGCCGUGGAGAGCAGGCAUUGCUUGUUGUCAACCUGCACAGGCUGAGCAGUGUCCGAGGUUCCAGCGAGACAUCCAGCCCGAGAGACUGUUUUGUCUGUGACACAGCGUUAUAAGCCGUAGUACUGUAGACACGUUUCAUAAAUGAGAAUCUGAGCUGUUCUUGUCAUUGUAAAACAGAAUGUAAACAGUCUUAUGAAUGUAUUUCCUUAGAAAAACUGUUGUAAAAUUUUUUUAUUAGGAAGAUUCUUAUUUAUUUAAUACUGAACAUUGGCCGACUUUGUGAUAUAAAGCACACAAAUUUAGGGGUCAUUCUCUCACUUCUACAUCUUCUUGGGCAUAAUUUUAGUGCAGUGCUCAAUGAACUAUUGAUUUCUAUUGUUAGAGAUUUAAUGGAGGAAUUUCAUUGAAACUGGAAUGGGAAUGUAUUUUACAUUAUGAGUGGUGAAAACUGUGGAUGCUGGUUUUGUGAAUGUAACCCUGUCAAGCUGUGUGACCCUCAUCAUGACCACGUGCCUUAAAGCACUGCCCGUGUGCUGUCAACAGUGUCUGGGCGGAGCCCACCACAGACCCUGCAGCAGCCUGAUCAAGUCUAUUAAAAAUAUUACAAGACACUUUGGGUGAAAACUUUGUUUACAAGUGAGAUCGUAUCAAGGAGGUCUUGAGGGGCCGCCUCUCCUGCAGGCAUAGUAUUCUGGCACUAAAAUUAACAUGGAUGCGCCUCGUGUGUGUGUGUGUAUGAGUGAGGGUCAUGUGGAUAAAUGUGUGUGUGCGCGCGUGAGGCUCAAGGUUAGUGCAGAGGCUGAGGGCACAGGCUGUGUGUGUGUGUGGCGUGUGUGUGUAUAUGAGUGACGGUCAUUUGGAUGCAUCUGUGUGUACGUGAGGCUCAGGGUUAGUGCAGAGGCUGAGGGCCCAGGCUGAGCACUGGAUACGUGUGUGUGUGUGUGUGUGGGUGGGGGGGGGGCGGGGGUGGGGGGGGGCGCGGGGGGGGGGGGCCGGCAUGUGUGGGGGCGGUAAUCAUGUGGACCUGCCCGUGUGUGUGUGUGUUGUGUGUGUCUGUGAGGCUCAGGGUUAGUGCAGAGCCUGCGGGCAGGGCCUGAGCCCUGGGAACCAGCUCCCACCCCACACCCCCGGCAGAGAUGGUGGCCACCAUCACUGGCUGCCGGAGUGGGAGGACCAAGCACCUGCCACACAGGAGGGGCCCAGAGGGGGCAGGCCUGGGGCUGGAGAGGCGGGGGGGGGCAGGCGGGGCCAGGGCUCGGGGGGGAAGGGUGGGGGGGGAGAACCCAUUGGGGG